CAACGCCUUCUGUAUGACUAGCUCUGGGAACUUGGUGCCGUCGCCGCGGGACUUGACGUCCAGUGCAAAGAGACCGUGGUCAUCGCGCGUGAGCAGAUAGGUGCGGAGCCCGUUCUCGCCCGCGUCUGGGUCAUGUGCGCUGAUUUCCUUGUCGUUGGCGAACACCUCGAGGGACAGCUGACACUUGGCAUUGUGGCGACACAAGGACUCACGGUCGAUUCGCUGUUUGGUGUAAAGCAGCCCACUAUCAGCGUCCACGUCUAGCAGGUGCGGUGCCGAGUUCUCCAGCACCCGGUAACUGCCCGACUUGCCUCGCCCGCCGCUGCCACCGCGUUCAGCGGGCGGAAGCCCUGGCUGCAGUCUAGCAUCUUUGCCGAUGUUGCCGAUCACCGUGCCGGCCCCCUGUUCCUCAGGCACUGAGUAGUUGAGGUUUUUGAGAGUCAGGGCAGGGGCCCAUAGAAGGAAGCAGCAACAGAUGGAAAGGUACAUCCCAGACCGGUGGGGUGGGGGCAGAAGCAGCCGGACUGAAGGGGCAAGCCUGUGGGUGCGCGCCAGCCUGGGGCCCGGGAGGAGGGCGCGCGCGCGACGCGAGCCACAAGUCUGUAGGUCCUUCCUUCCUUCCACACCCGGGCUGCGGCAGCAGGCAGUCUCUCCUUAUUCCGCUCAAGUUCCCCGAACCUGUUGAUCUACAGCAUCCGCACUGGGGGAGAAGCAGCGGCGCAGCGGAGCUGCAGCGGCUUGGAGCAAGGCGGCGGCUCCCUGCGGCUGAGGGCGAGCCCGGGGCUUUGUCUCUCCCGCCUGGACUUCAGGAGGCUCAAACUUGAGCGAUGAGGCCGGCGAUAAGAAGGAAAUCGAGUCUGGGAGGGAUGAUAAUGAGCUAAAGAAAAUCGCACCUCCUUCCAAUGGCCCAGUCUCCCAGUCCUCUUCAUCUAGAAAAGAAAACCUUGGCGAAGAAUAAAAGUGGUGAAUAUUUGAAGAGAUUAAGGAUCACCCCAAAGCCUGAGAAAGACGUGCGGAUUUCAAACCAAAUAAAUCCAUCCCCGCAAGCAAAGCAAUGGAGGAAAUGAAAGGUGAAAAUUCAAUUCAACAGUUGGAGUAGCGUCUCCCCAGCCGCCCUCCGCCGCUGCCGCAUCCGCCGGGCUCGCAGUCCCUGUUCUCUCCCUAGCGUCUCUUGCUGACUGACUCUAUUCACCUCACGCCGCCGCUUAAACAUUGAUACUGAUUCCCUGCCAGCCAAUCCGCGUGAGGAGCAAGGCCCUGCCUCCUCGGCCCACGCCCAAUAGGAGGCGGAGAAGAGGCUGGCGGGGGCGGGGCCAGGAGCCCCAGUGCUUUAGAGUCAUUGAUUAGAUCAGUUAGAUGGGAAACCAAUGCUGCCAGUCGAGCCAGCUAUACGCUUUAGCGGCGGCGCCCAGGGCCUCGCUGCCGGGUCUCCCGGGUCUUUAACUACCGGGAGAAGCUCCUCCACUCUUUUCCUCCGGAAAAGAGAAAUUUUUUAAAAAAGUUUGAUAUCAAUUUGAUUUUUUUGUUGUUGUUGUUCUGCAUACACUGGAAUGAGAAUCACAGCAUGCUUUCCAGAAUAAGGUAGCUGCGGUCUUCUAAUGGAUUUCUGUACACACACAUACACACAAGCUUUCAUCUCACACACACCCAUGCCAGGGAGAUGCAGAUUUCCUGACUCCAGGUGGACCCAUCAGAAUGAGGUGCGGAGGGGUGUGUGUGUGUGUGUGUGUGUGUGUGUGUGUGUGUGUGUGAAUGUGUUUCUGACGGGCUCGACACGUAUUUCAGUGAGUGUAUGUGUGAAUUCGAGGGUGCUCUCGAGCCAGCUUCUGCCGGCGCUGGAGCAAACACGCCCAGAGCAACAGCAAUCAAUGUGUAACUUUUUUCAUCCUUAGAGAAAAAUCAGCUGUCCCCAGGCUCCCAUGCAAGUAAAGUCCCUUGAUUAUGAAAGUGUUUCAGAAGAAAAGCAGACGCCAGUUGAAAGAGGCCGUGUGUCCUUAGAGGAAAACAAUCUCUCUUCUGAGGAGAAAGUCUCUGUCUAAACAAGCAUUCUAGCUUAUUAAAACUAAAACCUGGCUAAAUAAUACUUGGAGUUAUCCUCCUUCCAUCUCAAGGUUCAAGGCAAUUAAAUGCCCCCACAGCACAUAAUAGUUCUAGUGUUUUGUCCAUCUCCAUCCUUGUUUUUUAAAGUUCCACAAGGCAAUUGAAUUUUAUCUUUUUAAUUCCAAGUAACCAUUGAUAACAACAUUUGCCAUGCCAAAGUCCUAUGCAUAGAAGCUAAAUUGUAAAAACAUGAAGGUAGAUCCAGUCAAUCUUUUAAGACUUCUGUUUUAUAAGUCCUCUCUCUCUCUCUCUCUCUCUCUCUGACACACACACACACACACUCCAAAUUCUUCCCCAAUUUUAGAAUCUCAAAGGUUCUUUUCUCCUAAAAGAUUAUCAAAAACAACCACAAGUGAAGACUGGAUUGCUCCUGAUCCAUUCUGGGAAAGAGUUUAGGCAAAAAAGAAAAUUGAAGUAUUGAAAUAGAAAAGGUGAGUGUUUUGAUUGCUAGAGUAUUGAUUGCAAUUCAUAAAUACUGAAGUUAAGUUGCCAUUUAUAAAUUGUGAAUGACUAACAUACAGAUCUGUAACAUGAAUCAUUCAGGAUUCAAAGAAAAUCAAAUCCAGACCAAUUACUAUAAAGUUCUGAAGAUUUUUGUUGGGAUAAUUGCUUAAAGAUUCAGGUGAAGGAGCUAUUUAUUUCCCCGAGGCUUCAAUGAGAUAACUUAUAGUCAGAAUGUGCAGUCUGAUUUGUAUCCAAAUUUACCACUCCUAUAGGAAACUCUAACAGUUUAAAAAGUCAAAGAUAGACUUUCAAAUCCUAAAAUGUCUUUGCAUUUUCAAAAUAGACAGUUUUUCAGAUAUUUACUGUUGAUGAAUAGAGUCAUAGAAGCUCCUAGAAAUUUUUGGUUCUUUGAGUGGGUGCUUAAGCACACUGACAAGUGAAACUAUAGCUUUGUAUCUCUUUGGGAUUAUUACCUCUGUUUAACUCAUGUACUUUGGAAGUUGAGUCUUUGAGUCUUCAAAAGCAGCAGCUAACAAAUAAAAACUAAUGAUUACACAUUCAUUUAUUAAUAACUACUUUUUAUAUGACAAAUGUAAAGUGUUUUGCAUUACAUACUAAUUCAGGGAAAGUCAUAAAAUAUCCUUACUUAAAAAUUUACCAUCAUGCAAAAAUUAAAGAAAAAAAAUAAUUCCAAGAAAAGGUAUUAUUUUUUUUAAAAAAACUGUUUUUAUGAGUGUAUUAUAGUAAUACAUAAUGGAGUUCAUUUUUCAUAUUCAUAAAUGAUUACAUAGUUUGUUCCACUUAUUAUGGUUUAUUGAUUAGCCUUAAUUGGAUGUGAUUUUGUGCAGCUGGGGAAUACUAGAAAUACAAUGUCUAAAAAGAGAGCCAGUGAUUUGAAAAUGUAUCCUUAAAGACAAAAAUUUGCUGAAAACCCCUCCAGAGUAAUUAUGUCACACCUCCCCCUAGUGUAUGGAAAAAGAACCACCACACUAACAGUGAAUACCACAGGGCAUCUGCCAAAGGAGAGCAAAAGAGAUAUAUAGCAAAUAUAUUUUACUUAUGUUGAAGCAUUGGAUUUUGUUGUUGAAAACUGUUAUGUACCCAAAGUAAUUAAUUUUUAUCUUUAUGUUCCACACUUAUUUUAUUUUUAAAGGAAAUGAAAUCAACUGAUAUCUUACUUCCAAUUUUCCAAUUACUUGCUUGUCUUUAAACAGUUAUGAUAAUCAUGAUUAAUUUUUAAUCAUCUUUUUUCUAUAUGCUAUAUUUUUCCACAGAUAGAUUUUAUGUCUACAAAUAGUAAUUUGAGAUGGUGUUUUAAACUAUGCUUAAAAUAUUAAACUCAAAUGAAAAAAAAAAAGAUGAUAUACAUAUAUCAUCAGAAAUAUUCUUGAUUUUGAUAGCAUAGAUUGAUUUCUGUACUGUGGAAGACUAGACCUGUGGUAUAGAGUUCAGGAAUCUAGAGGAUCAUAGUGUUGUGCCCAUGUUAUAACAUUCUUCUGUAAUUUAUCCUGCUUUCUGUUAUCUUGAAUUCAAUAAAAUACGGCUCUUAGGAGACA